rnacentral:rRNA from 1 species
CAAAAUUAAUAAAUAAGAGGUCCCGCCUGCCCUGUGACUAUAUGUUUAACGGCCGCGGUAUUUUGACCGUGCAAAGGUAGCGCAAUCACUUGUCUUUUAAAUGGAGACCCGUAUGAAUGGCACAACGAGGGCUUAACUGUCUCUUCUUUCAAGUCAAUGAAAUUGAUCUCCCCGUGCAGAAGCGGGGAUACGCACAUAAGACGAGAAGACCCUGUGGAGCUUUAGGCACCAAGGCAGACUAUGUUAAGUACCCCAGACUAAUGACUAAAACAACUUAUAACCUGCCCUAAUGCCUUCGGUUGGGGCGACCGCGGGGAAAUAAAAAACCCCCAUGUGGAAUGGGAACACCUCCUAAAACUAAGAGCCCCCGCUCUAAUAAACAGAACUUCUGACUAAUAAGAUCCGGCAAUACCGAUCAACGGACCAAGUUACCCCAGGGAUAACAGCGCAAUCCCCUUUUAGAGCCCAUAUCGACAAGGGGGUUUACGACCUCGAUGUUGGAUCAGGACAUCCUAAUGGUGCAGCCGCUAUUAAGGG